GACGUAGGGCGCGAGCGUUGUCCGGAUUUAUUAGGCGUAAAGAGCUCGUAGGCGGCUUGUCGCGUCGACUGUGAAAGCCCGCGGCUCAACCGCGGGUCUGCAGUCGAUACGGGCAGGCUAGAGUUCGGUAGGGGAGACUGGAAUUCCUGGUGUAGCGGUGAAAUGCGCAGAUAUCAGGAGGAACACCGAUGGCGAAGGCAGGUCUCUGGGCCGAUACUGACGCUGAGGAGCGAAAGCGUGGGGAGCGAACAGG
rnacentral:rRNA from 1 species